rnacentral:rRNA from 1 species
AGCGAACGCUGGCGGCAGGCCUAACACAUGCCAGUCGAACGAACCUUUCGGGGUUAGUGGCGGACGGGUGAGUAACACGUGGGAACGUGCCUUUAGGUUCGGAAUAACUCAGGGAAACUUGUGCUAAUACCGAAUGUGCCCUUCGGGGGAAAGAUUAAUCGCCUUUAGAGCGGCCCGCGUCUGAUUAGCUAGUUGGUUGAGGUAAUGGCUCACCAAGGCGACGAUCAGUAGCUGGUCUGAGAGGAUGAUCAGCCACAUUGGGACUGAGACACGGCCCAAACCCCUACGGGGGGCAGCAGUGGGGAAUUUUGCGAAAUGGGCGAAAGCCUGACGCAGCCAUGCCGGGUGAAUUAUGAAGGUCUUAGGAUUGAAAAAUUUUUUCACCGGGGAAGAUAAUGACGGUACCCGGGGAAGAAGCCCCGGCUAACUUCGU